rnacentral:rRNA from 1 species
UACGUAGGGUGCGAGCGUUGUCCGGAAUUAUUGGGCGUAAAGGGCUCGUAGGCGGUUUGUCGCGUCGGGAGUGAAAACUCAGGGCUUAACCCUGAGCCUGCUUCCGAUACGGGCAGACUAGAGGUAUGCAGGGGAGAACGGAAUUCCUGGUGUAGCGGUGAAAUGCGCAGAUAUCAGGAGGAACACCGGCGGCGAAGGCGGUUCUCUGGGCAUUACCUGACGCUGAGGAGCGAAAGUGUGGGGAGCGAACAGG